rnacentral:rRNA from 1 species
AAACGCCGCGUGAGGGACGAAGGCCUCUGGGCUGUAAACCUCUUUUCUCAAGGAAGAAGACAUGACGGUACUUGAGGAAUAAGCCACGGCUAAUUCCGUGCCAGCAGCCGCGGUAAUACGGGAGUGGCAAGCGUUAUCCGGAAUUAUUGGGCGUAAAGCGUCCGCAGGCGGCUCAGAAAGUCUGUUGUUAAAAAGUGGAGCUCAACUCCAUCCAGGCAAUGGAAACUACUGGGCUAGAGUGUGGUAGGGGCAGAGGGAAUUCCCGGUGUAGCGGUGAAAUGCGUAGAUAU